UACGGGGGGAGCAAGCGUUGUUCGGAUUUACUGGGCGUAAAGGGCGGGUAGGCGGCCACCGCAAGUCGACUGUGAAAUCUCCGGGCUUAACCCGGAAAGGUCAGCCGAUACUGCGGGGCUAGAGUGCAGAAGGGGCAACUGGAAUUCUCGGUGUAGCGGUGAAAUGCGUAGAUAUCGAGAGGAACACCUGCGGCGAAGGCGGGUUGCUGGGCUGACACUGACGCUGAACUGCGAAAGCGUAGGGG
rnacentral:rRNA from 1 species